rnacentral:rRNA from 1 species
AUUGAACGCUGGCGGCAUGCCUUACACAUGCAAGUCGAACGGCAGCACGGGAGCAAUCCUGGUGGCGAGUGGCGAACGGGUGAGUAAUAUAUCGGAACGUGCCCAGUCGUGGGGGAUAACGUAGCGAAAGCUACGCUAAUACCGCAUACGAUCUAUGGAUGAAAGCGGGGGGAUCGCAAGACCUCGCGCGAUUGGAGCGGCCGAUAUCAGAUUAGGUAGUUGGUGAGGUAAAGGCUCACCAAGCCGACGAUCUGUAGCUGGUCUGAGAGGACGACCAGCCACACUGGGACUGAGACACGGCCCAGACUCCUACGGGAGGCAGCAGUGGGGAAUUUUUGGACAAUGGGCGCAAGCCUGAUCCAGCAAUGCCGCGUGCAGGAUGAAGGCCU